rfam:Gossypium hirsutum cultivar TM-1 chromosome 20, whole genome shotgun sequence
AAUUCUGUGAUAAGGAAAUUUUCAUAAUAAUUCUUUAAAGCUCUCACUUGCCUCAUACAAGGAUUCAUUGUCCAUUUGCUGGAAGGUAGUGAUCUUGUUUCACAACU